ACGAACGCUGGCGGCGCGCCUAACACAUGCAAGUCGAACGGAGUUGUGUUGAAAGCUUGCUGGAAAUACAACUUAGUGGCGGACGGGUGAGUAACACGUGAGUAACCUGCCUUUCAGAGUGGAAUAACGUUUGGAAACGAACGCUAAUACCGCAUAACAUGAGAGAACGGCAUCGUUCUUUCAUCAAAGAUUUUAUCGCUGAGAGAUGGGCUCGCGGCCGAUUAGGUAGUUGGUGAGAUAACAGCCCACCAAGCCGACGAUCGGUAGCCGGACUGAGAGGUUGAACGGCCACAUUGGGACUGAGACACGGCCCAGACUCCUACGGGAGGCAGCAGUGGGGGAUAUUGCACAAUGGAGGAAACUCUGAUGCAGCGACGCCGCGUGAGGGAAGACGGUCUUCGGAUUGUAAACCUCUGUCUUUAGGGACGAAAAAAUGACGGUACCUAAGGAGGAAGCCACGGCUAACUACGUGCCAGCAGCCGCGGUAAUACGUAGGUGGCAAGCGUUGUCCGGAAUUACUGGGUGUAAAGGGAGCGUAGGCGGGGAGACAAGUUGAAUGUUUAAACUAUCGGCUCAACUGAUAGUCGCGUUCAAAACUAUCACUCUUGAGUGCAGUAGAGGUAGGCGGAAUUCCUAGUGUAGCGGUGAAAUGCGUAGAUAUUAGGAGGAACACCAGUGGCGAAGGCGGCCUACUGGGCUGUAACUGACGCUGAGGCUCGAAAGCGUGGGUAGCAAACAGGAUUAGAUACCCUGGUAGUCCACGCCGUAAACGAUGAUUACUAGGUGUGGGGGGACUGACCCCUUCCGUGCCGGAGUUAACACAAUAAGUAAUCCACCUGGGGAGUACGACCGCAAGGUUGAAACUCAAAGGAAUUGACGGGGGCCCGCACAAGCAGUGGAGUAUGUGGUUUAAUUCGAAGCAACGCGAAGAACCUUACCAAGGCUUGACAUAUACAGGAAUAUUUAAGAGAUUAAAUAGCUCUUCGGAGUCUGUAUACAGGUGGUGCAUGGUUGUCGUCAGCUCGUGUCGUGAGAUGUUGGGUUAAGUCCCGCAACGAGCGCAACCCCUGUCCUUAGUUGCCAGCAUGUAGAGAUGGGAACUCUAAGUAGACUGCCGCGAAUAACGCGGAGGAAGGUGGGGAUGACGUCAAAUCAUCAUGCCCUUUAUGUCCUGGGCUACACACGUACUACAAUGGCUGUAACAGAGGGAAGCGAACCAGUGAUGGUAAGCGAAACCCGAAAAGCAGUCACAGUUCGGAUUGAAGGCUGAAACUCGCCUUCAUGAAGCCGGAAUUGCUAGUAAUGGCAGGUCAGCAUACUGCCGUGAAUACGUUCCCGGGCCUUGUACACACCGCCCGUCACACCAUGAGAGUUGGGGAUACCCGAAGCCUGUGAGCCAACAGUUAAAUGAGGCAGCAGUCGAAGGUAGAAUCAAUGAUUGGGGUG
rnacentral:rRNA from 1 species